GCGAUUUCCACAUCUAACAGCUUCUGGCUAUUUCGCAACUGCUGGGUUUGAGUCCUACUGUUGCCGUAGCUGAAAAGAGAAGUAAAAUCCAACUUGUGAGACCAUGCACAAGGAAUUAGGCUUUGGCUGCAGCGGUGCUGAAGCCCAUGCUAUGACAGAAGAAGCAGGCCUUUGAAGCUAUCCUCGGGUUAAGAAGUGGUGCCCUAAAGAGGCAAGCAUCCCUUUCUCCAUUCUGCUUUAAGACACCACAUCUAAAGGAGACACACUUGAGGCAUUCACAAGCAUCCAAGGAUACUGGCUCACUGCUGGCUUCCUGUACAUUCUUGAGAAAAGUGUUUUCUUUUUACUGACUCUCACUGCUUCCUUUUGGCCUGGUACCACUGGUGGAACCUGGCAGAUAAUGGGAUUUGAGGAGUUAAGUAUCUGUUGACACCGCAGAUGCUCUUAAAUUAGUUAAUCAGACUCAAAUGGGUCAGUGCUUUCCCUUGAUCUUUUGUUGAAGCCUUUUCCAGAACAUUGCCUCCAAAGUGCAUCCCCCCUUUGGUCUGGAAGUUCUGUGGCUACCCUGUACCACUGGGGUCAACGGUUUCCAGUUGGAAGAGGACUACAGGGAGAGAGGGCGGGGUUAUUGGAAGAAGAAGAAGAAAAAAAGAACUAGAUAAAGGAGGGCACAUCCCUCCCACUCCCGCCUUUCCCCUUACCUUUCUGUCUCUCGGUACCCUUAUUUCUUCGUCACGGUGUCCAGGACCAUUUUGACCCUGUCGGCCCCGGCACCCCCCCGCCGCACCCCAGCCCCGAGCAUGGGGACGGCGCUGCUCCAGCGCGGGGGCUGUUUUCUUCUGUGCCUCUCGCUGCUGCUCCUGGGCUGCUGGGCGGAGCUGGGCAGCGGGCUGGAGUUUCCGGGCGCCGAGGGCCAAUGGACGCGCUUCCCCAAGUGGAACGCCUGCUGCGAGAGCGAGAUGAGCUUCCAGCUCAAGACGCGCAGCGCCCGCGGCCUCGUGCUCUACUUCGACGACGAGGGCUUCUGCGACUUCCUGGAGCUGAUUCUGACGCGCGGCGGCCGCCUCCAGCUCAGCUUCUCUAUCUUCUGCGCUGAGCCUGCGACGCUCCUGGCCGACACGCCGGUUAACGAUGGCGCCUGGCACAGCGUGCGCAUCCGCCGCCAGUUCCGCAACACCACGCUCUUCAUCGACCAGGUGGAGGCCAAGUGGGUGGAGGUCAAGUCCAAGCGCAGGGACAUGACGGUGUUCAGCGGCCUUUUCGUCGGGGGGCUGCCCCCGGAACUGCGCGCCGCGGCGCUCAAGCUCACCCUGGCCUCGGUGAGGGAGCGGGAGCCCUUCAAGGGGUGGAUUCGCGACGUGAGGGUCAACUCCUCUCAGGUCCUGCCUGUGGACAGUGGCGAGGUGAAGCUGGACGAUGAGCCGCCCAACAGCGGCGGGGGAAGCCCGUGCGAGGCGGGCGAGGAGGGCGAGGGCGGGGUGUGCCUCAACGGAGGCGUGUGCUCCGUGGUGGACGACCAGGCCGUGUGCGACUGCUCGCGAACCGGCUUCCGCGGCAAGGACUGCAGCCAAGAAGACAACAAUGUGGAAGGUCUGGCGCACCUGAUGAUGGGCGACCAAGAGGACUGGCUGAAGUUAAGAGUCUUAAACAGCAGUUGGAUUUGCACUGACCAAUGAGGUGGAAGAAGAGAGAAGCUGACUGAUCCCAAAGAAAGCCAACACCUAGACUGAUGAAUUUCUGCAGGCUGGGAAGUCAAAGAACAUGGCACUAGCAACCAGUGAGGGCCUUCUUGCUGCGUCAUAACAUGUGAAGGGCAUCACAUGGUGAGAGGGUAAAAGAGUCCCUGCCAGCUCAGGUCUCUCUUCCUCUUCUUAAAGCCACCUGUCCCUUCAAGGGGGCUCCACACUGAUGACCUUAUCUAAUCCUAAUUACCUCCUAAAGGACCCACUUCUAGUCAGCGUAUUAAAUUGAGGAUUAAGUUUUUAACACACAAAAUUUGGGGAACACAUUCAAACCAUAGCAUCUCCUCUACCCAAAUUCAGAUUUUCCUCUUCCAUAUUUUAUUUUUUUGUUCUUUCAAACCAUCCUUCACAGUGCUGAAGACCUUUCCAUCUCUUUUCUGGUUGUCUCCUUCUCCUAAUCUUGGCAUGCUCUAAUUGUCAGGAUACCUCAUAAAGCCAAGUCUAAAAUUAAUUCUACUAUCCCUGGGUAUCUGAGCAAGGCAUAGUAAAAUGGAAGCAUUCUGUGGUUCUGGAAAUAAUACUUCUGUUAAUGCCACCUAAAAUCAAAGGUAGGGGUGGUGUGUGUGUGUGUGUGUGUGUGUGUGUGUGUGUGAAUGUGUGUAUGUAUUUUGGUCAGCGUUAUUGUUUUAUCAAUUCAUGCUGAACUUUCAGUCAGUUGAACCCUCUAAGUUUUUCCACAUGAACUGCUCAUAAGUCAGCCUUUCUGUACUCUACUCAAGAGCUGAUGUUGUCAGCCUGCUUUAAAACAUGAAACAUUACUAUUCAAUUCUACCUUCAAUCAUUAAAAAUAGUAAAUUGUCUACUAAGGGUCCUAUGCAAGAUGCUAUGAAUACAAACAUAAAUAAGGCUUGGUAUUUGUUCUAGAGGGAUUUAUAGCUCAGUAGGUGAAGACGUUUUUACAUUGAAGUGUCAUCAGUCGUUAAAAGCCCUGUAAUAUAAGUUAUUUACAGAAACCAACAUUCUUCAUUAGCUGUCUUGUUGAGUGAUGAGUGUUGGCUAGAGUGACAUUGUAGUGUGUUAGUUUUCUAUUGAUGCCAUAACAAAUGACUACAAAUGUAAUAGUUUAAACAACAUAAAUGUAUUAUCUCACUCUUCUGUAGGUCAGAAGUCUGGCAUGGAUCUCACUGGGGUAAAUUUGAUUUGUCAUCAAUGCUGCGUUUCUGUUAGAAGCACUAAGAAAGAAUCUGCUUUCUUCCUUUUCUAUCUUUUUUGAGGCUGCCUACAUUCCUUGGCUGGUGACUCCUUUCUUUCAUCUUCAAAGCCGGUAACCUUGCAUCUCUCAGACUAUUCUUCUGUAGUCACAUUUUACUCUGACUCCUCUUCUGCUGUUUUCUUCCACUUGUAAGGAGCUUGUGACUACAUUGGGUCCAGGGUUCUUACCCUAUCUUUAGGUCAGCUGAUUAGCAAACUUAAUUAACAUCUUCAACCUUAAUUGCCUUUGCUAUCUUUAAGGGCAAAAAGAGAAAGGCAUCUUUUUCUCACCCUUCAUAAAGGUCAGAGCCAACACUCCUGUAAUGAAGGACAGAUUAACAAGAGAAAAGUGUAGCAAACUUAGUUAAUCAAAGUUUCAUGUAACACAGGCACCUUCAGAGUUGAAGACCCACAUACCCAGGGAAAACUGUGUACUUUUUAUACUGAGUUUCAAUGAAGAAUGAACCACCAUAUAGAAAUGUGAUUGGAUAAAGGAGUAUAAUGUAAUGGUAACAGACUGAGGGGGGAAAUCCAGAAAGGCCUGUUUUUGUUUUUGUUUUUGUUUUUCAGAUUCUUCUCUGUGUAGCAUUUUUCCCUCCAGAGUACAGGGCAAUGAGAGUCUUCAAGGGAAAAGGGAGAGAGUGACCUUUCCAAAUUUUGUGGCUUACUUUAGGGGAGAAGACUUUUAGUUUCUCCUCAGACCUUGGGAAAAUGCAAUUCUGGUUGCUAUGACUUGCUUCUGGGGAGAAAGAGGGGUGUGAGAGAGGAGGGCAGGAAAAGGUCAGAGACCUUGUUUCUGAGGCUUUUCCAGUCUCCUUCAGUUCAAAGUAUUCAUCAUGCCAGGAUGCUAUACUUUGGGGUAUGUUCUGAGCCGCAACACAUGUAAUCCACAUGUAAUCCAACCUAUUCAUGGGUUCUGGAGAUUAAGAUUUAGACAUCAUUGGGGUGCCAUUAUAUUUGUCUAGCACAGGUAGACACAUUUCAGGCAGAAGCAUAAUGUAAGUAUGUAAGAGAAAUGCAGGUUGUAAGCAAUUGAGUAUUAAUGCAACAAGGGAACCUAAAGGAUGAAACUGGAGAAACAGAUAAAAGUCAAGAUGAUGGAAAGACUUAAGGAACAGGAUCAGAUUGGUUGUUUCAAAAGAUUAUUCUGGCAAGAGAACAGAUUUAAAAAAUGCAGAACCAAAGAUAAGAAAACAGCAUAGCAACAAUUAAUUAGUCAAGAAAGAUACCAGAAGCUUACACUAUUUUCGUAGCAUCAGAGGUGAAAAAGAAGUAAUAGAUUUGAUAUGUGCUAAGGAGUUAGGGUCUAUGGGGUUUGUUGGUUGAUUAGUUACAAAGAUGUGGGCAUGACUGGGGUCAAGACUGAUUCCCAGAUUUUCAUGAUAAGACUCUAGGUGAAUGGUGAUGUCAUUUGUAGUAUGGAUUACUGAAGAGAAAGUAGAGAUGAGGAGUCAAAGGAAGAGAAAUGCUUCUGAUUUCCAUUUUAGUACAUGGAUAUAACUAAGCUAUAUUGAAUCCUCAUAUGUAAUUCUAUCCCUGUGUUAUCUACAAGUAUGAUAUUAAUCUACUUGGUAUUUUUAAUGGAAAAAAGUGUGGUAGAGAAUAGAGUCCUCAGAGUGCCAGUAGGGAUAACCUUAGUGCCCCUAGUGUAACCACCACUGUUACAUCAAUCUGAGUCCACUAUAUAACACCAUUCAACCAGCGUUGACUCUGUACUAUUAGCCAGGUCAUAUUUCUGCACAUAUUCCAAAAUUUUUCUUAGUAAACUUAGUCUAGUGCCUUGCUUAGACAUUUAAUAGACUGUCUAAAUCAUGAAGCAAUAUUGGGAAAGUUAUUUCUAUUCAAUAGUGUUAAAUAUUUAAGUAAUUAAUUCACUUUAUCUUCCAUUUUAAUAAACACCUUAACCCAGGGAACUCUAUGUGUAAAUUCUAUUCAAAGCCCUUUGCGGAAUAUAAAUACAUAUGUCAUGUUUAUGAAUAUGUAAAAUAUAAAAUAUAGUGACCAUAUAGGAGAGCAAGAAAUGAAUUUUUAUUGGAAAAAAAGUGCUUGGAUAAGUGGUGGUUGACAGGGAAGAGAUGAGAAAUGAGGAUAGAUUCACUGGGAAAGAGGACACCUGAAAGAAAGAACAGUGUCAUUAGAAAUAUUGGAACAGCUUCAUGCAAAGCAUGAUUAUAGUGAGGGAUGUUGUGUGGCUACAACACAAAUGUGGUUGCAAGGGAGGUUUGGAAUGAAAGAAUUGGUAGCUUUCUGGUUCAUAGAUGUAGUUAUUUUUAAUUGAAUUUGAGAGUCAUUGGGCAGCACAUAGCCUCUCCAAAUUUUCACUGGGCUCUCUUACUCCCUACUGUGUGCCCUAACCAGAUUCACACAUUUAUGUUUCUUAUCAGGUUCCUUAAAUAGCUGAAUUUAUAACCCUGGAUUUAUAAACUUAUUUUGCAGUCAACAUAGUGUGUGUCAGAGGGUUGGGGAUGGAUGGUGCCAUUAUCAGAGUCCCACUUUAAAAAUACAUCUUAAUGGCAGAGUGAAUUUCAAAUUACAGUGCUGAGGAAAGGUGGGAUCAUUAGAGGAAGGUGAAUAAGCUAAGAAGUUGUUUAAAAUGUUAAGAUAAAAGUAGGCUGAACUGUGAUGAUAAUAUGAGGAAAAGAAGGGAAGGACCAAACAUGAGAAACUAGAUUUGCAAUUUCAUUAGGACAUGGCCUGGGUCUUAUUCUUUCAGUGGGACAAAUCACAAAGUAGAUAAUAAAAAAAUGAAUGAAUGAAGACAUUGGAGUAGUUGAAUUGGAUAUGAGAAGUGAAAGGAAAGAACUGAAGGCAACUUGAAGAGCCUGGAUAUAAGUACCUAGAAGGGUUAUGCUUCUGAAAGUGCCUGCGGGAGAAUAACAUUCAUCUUAGAUCAAGUUGUAAGAAGACAUCCAGGGAGACACAUUCAGCAGUGAUGAAAAUGUGAAUAUGGUUCUCAGGAUAGAGACUAUAAUGAAAAGGGAAUAUGAAAAUUAAGAAAGUUUAUUUCAACUCAGCAAGAAUAUUAUGUAUCAAGAUAAAAUACAGAUUAGUAAUCUUUUUAAAAAGAAAGGUCUGAUCAUUUAAUGCAGACACAUUGUGUUAUAGAUGAAGAAACAAUAACAAGUGUUUUGCCUAAAGUUAAUCAACUGGUAAACGGGAGAGUUAGCUCUAGCACAGAAAAGGAUGUUCCUUGUAUUGCAUCAAUACUUUACUGCACUACCUCUGACAUCCCCCCACAAGUUUUCACAUGGGCCCAUUCUCUACUUAGAAGAGAACCAUUUUACCAUCGUUUAUGUUCCCAAAUGUGAACUUGGAUCCAUUUGUAAAAUUCACGUAUGGACUAUUUAAUACUUAGGGAUUUCAAGAUACCUUUUUUAAAUUUCAAGACCUGGUAGAAAGAGAGUGGGGCUGCAAGGAAGCCUAGGGUGAAAGCUACCAGCUUUAUUUUAUUAAUUUCUAGUAUUCUGGCCUGGCGAGUCUAACUUGUCUCAUAUAUUUCAGUCAAAUUGCUGUUAUGGAACAAACUGGAUUCUUCAGUUCUAAAUUUCACAGAAUUAUGUAAGGCUAAUGGAUUUCAGGUCAUGCCUUAUUGAGCCUAAGGGUUCUGGGGAGGGACCUGAGGACAACUGCUGGGGCUUAAGAGUGCGGAAAGAGCAGGACUUUGGAGCCCUUGCCCUGAUUCCAACAGAGACAUAGUCUUUUCUCUGUUUUAACAUUGGGCUUUCUCCCAUGAUUGUCUAUAAAGGAAGGGUCUCUUAUUUUAAAAUAUUCGAUAACUACUGCUAGAGGUUAUUAAUCUCAGGGCUACAGCCAGCAUUUCAGAUCUUACUGUCGUGUAUUUUUGGAUUAUAUUAAAACACUCCAAAUCCCAUUGUUUCAAAUGAGUAAAUCACACAAGUUGAAUUUUAUCCUAAAAGUACCUUUGAGCCAUUCAGCUCUGAGCCAAGCAUCAUCUCUCUCUGGCUUUUGCCAACACAGCUCACUUUUCCUAAGGACGUAUUGAGAGGAAAGAAUUUCAAGUUUUCACAACUAAAGGAGAGGCUUUCCGUUAAGAGAAGAUACAAGUAAGCCACAAUUUAUCCUGUGUUAUAAUUUACAGAAUGCUUAUGCAAAGGCCCAUAAGGUAUGUUGUGGGGGUGGAGCUGUGAUAUUGUGGUACACUGAGAGCAGAUGUCACUACAAAAAAACAAAACAAAACAAAACAAAAAAGUACCUCCCCCAGAAUACUUCUAUAAUAAUUCUUCAGUUAAAGAUGAAUUAAAAAUUAGUUACCUCCAAGACCAUCAACAUAAUAGAAACAGUUAUUAUGCAAAGCUUUAUUUGAACUAUGUUAAUGUCUUCCUAUAGUUAGAUUGAAUUCAGCUUCAGUAUGGUUUAGAUUGAAGAAAAGUCAUUUUGGUCAAGACUAAAGAGAGAGUUAAAUUUUAGGUUGGCGACGUCUGGUAGUGAAUACCUAGAAAGCAGAGAACAUAAAGAGAUUGAAAAGGGUCCUCAAGUGAAUUCCAAUAUCUUACUUAGUUUGUCUUUUAAAAAAAGUUCUAGCCCUGUCUAAAUAAACAUAGCUUUAUUCUUCCUGGUAACAUUAUCUCUGAAAAAUAAUAUGUUGGUACUGGUUGGGAAUAUAUGCCCAAUAUCUUCUUGAAUAAAGUGAUAUUAUUGUAAUUUUCUACUUUUCUCAGCAGCUUCAUCUUUUAUUCAUAAAUACUUGUUUCUGAUUUGUAAAAGCGGUUUUCUAAAUGUACUUCCUCUUCCCUUCCUUAUCAUUUUCUAAUUAUACCAGUAGUAAUAGUUCUGAUUUAGGUAAACUUAUAGAAUAAUACACUAAAUUAAUAUAUUAAGUCAUUUUCCACUUUUAAAAAGCAUUUUCUUAUCUGUUAUAAUCACUAUCUGAGAUAAAGGGACAAUGACAUUUGACUUCCUUUUUGCAGAUAAGAAAAAAUAACCAAGAUAAAAACUUUUCCACAUUACACAGUAAGGAAAUAGCAAGUCAGAACCUGAUGGUGAAAGCUAAAGCUCCCCACUAAGGUCAAACUACACCAGGCAUGGGUUUUUACCAGGGUGCUGUAAUACAUUCUCAGCACUCCCAAGUUACAUGGUAUCUUAGAAGAUCAGGAGAUGUACUAUUUCUCAGUACAUCCAGUGCUGUCUCACAGAUUGAAUUAAAAAGCAAAAUUAACUGAUAUUAAGUUGUUUCACUGGUAGUGUUUUCCGAGAUAAGCUAAAAUGACUUCUGGUUUAAAGUCAUGAAAAUCCUUCAUUUAGAAUUUUUUUAUGUAGAUCUAGUACAUUAAUAUUUAUGACCUCUUUUUUUUUCAGUUCCCGAGAAAACUUGUUUUUAUUCUUAUUCUAUUCUAAACUCAGAAUGUGAUUCAACAUUUGCUUUUUUUUUUUUCUAAUUUCUGUCUGUUUUUACUUCAGUGAUUCUUCCUAAGCAGAAUGAAUACAUGUUUUGGUAUAAUGAAUAUUGCUGAGAAUAAAUGCAUUUUCUUCGUCUUGCCCUGGUUAAAGAAUAUUUCUAGAUGCUGACGAGUGAAUUAAUGAUAUUUCAGAUUCCUCAUCAUCUAAUAAAGCCAUCAUUCUCAAUGAUCAGUUGAGGUUAGGCUUUUCUGAAAGAAAAAAAUAGUACAUUAUCACACUCACUUUCUUAAUAUAAUGGCUCUAACUUCGCUCUGGAGAACUUCAUGACUUUCCCACCAAAUUCUAGUUCAGUAUGGAAGCAAGUAAUGUUCUAUUCAUUAAUAUGGGAAGGACAGCAUAUGGGAGGUUAUUUAACUCCUUAGUGUCUCCAUCUUCCAUUCGCCAUGCAUGUUGCAAUGAUAAAUGAAAACAUUUUUAAACAUUUUGAAAGCUUGAAAACCUAUUUAGUGAAUACAAAUUAGCACAUUAUUGCUAUAAUUCACAUUUACUAAAGAACUUGUGGACUAUUGGCAGUUUCUUUGGAUUGUUGUUUAGUCUGUUUUGGAUUACCUACUGGUCAAAUCACAUUUUUUUCUUAGUGUCACAUGAUAUCGAACUAUUGUUGAAAUUUCCUUUUAAGAUUGUAAGAUUUAUUUGAGAUCCUUUACUGAAGUUCUUGCUUGUAUAUAACUUUGUACCAGAACCCCAGGUGAGGAACUUUGAAAGCAUAAUUAAUGUUUUCUCAUCUUUAUUUUCUUUCUUUUUUUGUGGGGAUGGAGUCUUGCUCUGUCGCCCAGGCUAGAGUGCAGUGGCGCAGUCUCGGCUCACUGCAAGCUCCGCCUCCUAGGUUGACAUCAUUCUACUGCCUCAGCCUCCUGAGUAGCUGGGGCUACAGGUGCCUCCCACCAUGCCUGGCUAAUUUUUUUGUAUUUUUAGUACAGACCAGUUUUCACCAUGUUAGCCAGGAUGGUCUCGAUCUCCUGACCUUGUGAUCUGCCCGUCUCAGCCUCCCAAAGUGCUGGGAUUACAGGUGUGAGCCACUGUGCCCAGCCUCAUCUUUGUUUUCUUUAUUGGUAUUAAUUCAUUCUGUUCACUCAGUUCAAGUUUGUUGAAUCCCCUCUUGUGGGCUCAGGGGAACAGGAAAAUGAACAGAUGAAAAUCAUGGAUCAUGGUACUCACAUUUUAAUGGUAUGAAACAAGCAUUAACAAAAACAACAAAAGCCAGAUAAAUAGUGUGUCAGAUAGUGAUACCUUCUAUAGAGAAAAAAAUCAGUGAAUGGGACACGGGAGUGCACCGAUGAGAAAAGGAGGUGUGAUUUUUACAUGAGGUUGUCAGGUAAGGCCUUCACUGGCAGCAUGACAUUUGAGAAGAGAAUUGAAGAGAUGGUUCAAUAUGAGUUCAAUUUUUUGAUUCUUAGGAGAACCAUCUCUUCCUUUCUACGUCCAUUGAGCUCAGUGUAAUCUAGGUAGCACUCAUCACCUCGUUCUUGCAUUACAUCAUUCCUGCCAGCUGCUUUAGCUGGUUUCUCUUCCUUAGGUUUCACCCUCUCUGGCUUGUACAACGUCACGGAAUGCCCUUGCUCAGAAAUGUGCAAAUGUUCCCUUAUUACCUGUCAUAUCGAUUACAGACUCCUCCAUAUUAUUUUCGUACUAUUUAAGAGCCCUAUUUAUUUAAUAAUUUUACUUUUAAUCCUCACUCUGACAAAUAGGUCUGUUCAUGCCAUCUUGAGUAAGCCAUACUUGUUUCCAAUUCUGUUUUCUUACAUGUACCUGCCUUCCCACCUGAAAUGCCUUCCGUUUUCUAAAUAUUUUACCCAAGUGAUAGGGUUUGUUUAAUUGAUACUGACAAAUAUGCUUAUAAUAUAAAGUGAAACUGACUUAGACCUAAUAACCUCAACUAGAGGCUGAUCCCAAGUACAUACUAAGGGUUUUAGAACUACUGUCCUUAAAGGGUAAACUCCCAGAUACUUACCCUUCCACUGGAGACUUGAAGUGUAAUGUGAUAUAGGAUAUGGUGAGGUUUGGAGAUUUAAAGGAUUGGGAUCUAUUAUGCACUUAAAAAUCCCACAUAGUCCAACAUGUUGUGGACACUAGGCCUUUAGGCUGAUCCCUGUCACAAAGGGGAAAUUGACAUUCGGCAAGGUUUAAUUUCUUGUGAGUAGCCAUGGGGAGAUAUUAUGUCUUUUAUUUGUAUUGCUCAGCCUUCUCUUGAUAAUAUUCAUGUUACUCUAGAUCGAUUAAUUCUCUGAUUAUUUUAUGGUUAGGUGCUUAAUUUACACACAAAAAAUCCCUUUUGUUAUCUUUCAUGUCUUGUCUUUUCAGUUAUUACAUAUUUUAAAAUACCUCUGUGUGCCUAAUAUCAGUACAUCUUCUGUAUCUCCCAUGACAUCUAAUAAACUGCUGUAAUUCACAUUAAAAAAUUCUUGCUAAUUAGUUUGAUGUGGAAGGUUUCAACAGCCUGACGUUUAUGCUUCUUAAACCGCAGUUCAUGUAUUUGACAUAAUUCUGCCAGAUAUCAAAAGUUCUAUAACAUCACCAACAUGGGAUUACAUCAAGGAAAAAUAAUGUCAUGAGAACCUAUAAAUUGUUUGUAUAGUCUGUUGUCACAUUUCCCUGCUUGUCUUUCUACAGACUUUCUUUAAUACAUCCUGCAAAAUAUUAGAAAAAAACAAAUUAACUGUCUAUUCAAGGAGGGCUUUGACAUAAUCUACCCUCUUUUUUUAAUUUUUUAAAAAAUUUUCUCCUGGUAAUCUUGUUAUUUCACAGGGUUACCAUUAUACAGUAAUAUAAACUUGGGGGAAGCAGGGCCUACAUCUACUAAUAUCCUUGUCUGGAGAGAAGAAAAUGAAAAGGCCUCUAAUGUGGCAGAGGGUGUCCCUAAGAUUGAAUAAACACAGUGUAGUGGGAAGACCCUCCUUUUAAGACACAUCUCACCUUAUUCUAUUUGUCAUUGUCAAAGCAUUUAAUGUUCCAAGCCUUCUGCAACCGGUUUUAUCUGAUACAUUUUCAAUUGUACUGAAUUGGAAAUUGGAGUGAUGUGCACUUCAGAAAUUACGGUGGAAUCCGGCUAAUUCAAAUUAUUGAUGUGGCGAUUUGCUGCAGAUGCUUAAAUUUUGUGACCUUAGAAGUAAGUGAAAAUCAGGAUUAAAAGUCAACCUAUUGCUUCAGAAUAUGGCUCAUUUAUUUUAGCGACUAUAGUUUAAUUUUAAUUAUUUAUGUCUCUGCUGAAUAGUUCUUUGGCAAAUGCUCCAUGGAAAAUACAUCAUCAUCUUUUUCAAGCUGUGUCUGCAUUCAGAAGUCUUAACUCUGUUUGACAGGUAUUUCUUUGAGUCAUCUAUAUUAGGAAAUAAUUUUUAAUCUGUCUGCAAGAAUCCUGAAUUUGCUUUCCAGAGUAGGUACUACACUCAAAAUCUAGUAUGACUUCUUAGGCGUUUAAUAUUCUGAACAGAAAGCUUUCAUAGAAAUCAUUUUUUCUGGUUAAAAAAACCUAACUAAAUAAUUUACUCUUUUAAUUAUAUUUCACUGUUAAUGAUGUCCAUCAACACUUAUUUAAAUGUAUUUUCAAAGCGUUCAUUUCUGAAGAAUAAAUUAUAAAUGUGCUUUUUUAUAUUAAGCAAUUAAUUUCAUAGGAAAAUUAAAUUUUUGAAAUGUGGGAAUUUAGAUUAUAGAACAGUUGAAUGAUAACUUCAUAGAAUAUUAUAUCAAAGUUGAAUCCUAGGAAGAGCACAAUAUCCCCUUUCAUUUUCUACCUCCCUAUGGAUAUAUGCAUCUCUUUUAUUUGCCAUUUCAUAAAAAUGUGUUAUAAUUAUUGGUAACCAAUAGUAGGAUAACUUUGAAAAUAAAACUCUUCGAAACGUGUAUCCUUUUUAAGAUUAGACACGUUAGACAUGCCACUUCCUCUCUUAUACAUCACUGGAAAAGGGCUACAGAUAGAAGCCAGAAUGGCCCAUAUUUAAAAAAUAAAACUGCAAUUAAAAUCUUUGAUAGUUACAUUGAAAGCAGUAAGAAAGUGUUGGAAAUCUCUGCAAGGGACAGUCCUAAGAGGGAAUGAACUGUAUAAAAAAAAAGAAAAUUUUUGAGGAAAAAGUUUGAAGAUGAAAGGAUUCUUCUUAUAGAAACAAAGAAACAGUGACAAAGUUAUUCAUUGACUGAAUAGAGCCACAACUAAUGACAACUUAAUAGGAGAACUUUAUCUUCAAGCUUAACAAAAUUUCUAGACCUAAUGCAAUUCAAGAACUAUCUGGAAAUUAUUGUGUGACCUGGCAUAUCUAAACUAAACUUGUCUUGUAAUUUUCUAGUUCAAACUGUAGUGGAAGAUAUACUGUAGUGAUUAUUCAGUCCAUUCCGAUCAAUUAUUACUAUUAUGUUUUGUUUUUGCUACCAUCAAUUUUAAGGAGGAAUACAGUAAAUAGAGCCCAUUUAAUAGUGCACACUUUGAUGAAUUUUGACAAUCGUUUACACUUGUGAAUGCUAUAACCAAGAUACAGAACAUUUCCAAAGAUGAUGAAGAUUCUUUGUACUCCUUUGUAAAGUCCAUUCUCACACCUUCCCUUGGAUCUGGGCAGCCACUGACUUUCCUUUUGUCACCAUAGAUUAGUCUUCAUUUUGUUUAAAUGGAAUCGCCGAGUAUGUGCUCUUGCGUGUGGCUUCUUCAUUUCUGCACAAUGAGUUUAAGAGUCAUCCAAAUGUGUUUGUGCAGAUGCAGUACUUUAUUCCUUUUUAUUGAUAGGAAAUAUUGAAUUAUGUUUUGUGUGUGUGUUUUAUUUCUUCACUUAAAUCAUGUUCUUAUUAAUAUCAAGGAAUGCAUUUUAAAUUCUAUGUAUCCCCUCAGCACCUAAAAUAAUCCCUUGCACAUAGGAGAGGUUUGUUGGUUAAUUGAUUCAUCAUUCUGAGCACAGAUGUUGGAGAUAAGUUUUAGAAUGGUCCUGGUGUCAGCGAUACUCAUUUUUUGAGAAAAAUUUUGUGUUGGAAGUAGCAAGUUCAGAGAAAAUCAUUUAUUGAGGAGUUUAUCUAUGCCAGUCACAGUACGACCUUUGGCAUUAUCUCAUUUAUCCUCAUAACCAGUCCUAUGUGUUACUUAUACUGCAAUUAUACUUAUUUGUUAGGUGAAGCACAGAGAUUAAGCAACUUGACACUGAAGCUGAUGAACAGUAGAGCUGCUUAACACCAAAGCAGUUGCUGUUAGCCAUGAUACCUCAUUUCACCAGUUACUUAGAGUGAAAAUCCAUAUAGUAGCUAAAAUGCACAGUGUUAGUGGUUUCUAGGAGAUUUUUCAGACCUUUUAUUGUCUCCUUCCCUUACACUGACCUCUUGCAGUUUUGCUCAGGACACUUGCUGCCAUCUCAGGGCACUGGCUGUAGUGCCUCUUUCAGAUGCUUAAAUCCCUUACAUCUUUGAAAUCAUUGCUCAAAUUGGACCUCACUGAGUCUAUUCCGAAUUUUUUUUUUUUCUUUUGAGACAGAAUCUUGCUCUGUCACCCACGCUGGGGUGCAGUGGCACAAUCCUGGCUCACUGCAACCUCCGUCUCCCAGGCUCAAGCGAUUCUCCUGCCCCCAGCCUCCUGAGUAGCUGGGACUAUGGGCAUGCCCCACCACACCCAGCUAAUUUUGUGUUUUUAGUAGAGACUGUUUCUCCAUGUUGGCCAGUCUGGUCUUGAACUCCUGAUUUUAAGUGAUCCACCUGCCUCAGCCUCCCACAGUGCUGGGAUUACAGCUGUGAGCCACUGUGCCUGGCCAAUUCUGAACCUUUCUAUUAGAUACUUCAACCUUCUGCCACUUGUCUCCCACCCUCCCAAUCCCUUUUACUUAUUUAUAUUUUAGAAAACCAUAGCAUACACCAUUUUCUAAUAUAUACAUGAAUUACUUAAAGUUUAAUGAUUGUUUCCUUGUGUGUCUCUGCAGAGUAUAAGCCCCACAAGGGCAGGAAUCUUUGUCAGUGCUGUUAUCUGAUUUAUCCCAAAUGCCUGGGACAGUGUCUUACACAUAGUAAGUUCCCAAUAAAUGUGUGUAUUAGGCUAUGAGCUGGGAUGUGUUUGGCUCUCUUCCCAUAUAUCUGAGUUUUUUUUUUUUCUUGGAAGAUGUAGCAUUGAGUGAUACUUGGGUGAUUUAGAGACCAGAUAAAAUAAUAGAAACAUUGAUAUCCGAUUCUCUAACAGGACUCAGUAAAUAGUAAGAAAUGAUUUUCUACAUUAUUUCUUACUAUCUUCUGCCUGUGUUAUAUUGAUUUUAAUGGUUCACAUUAUCAGGGCUUUUUUAGAUUGCUUCUUAGAGAUGGAAGAGGCUUGAGAGAAUUUUGAGAUAAUUUGGUCCAAAAUUUGAAAUUUGGGAGCUUUGGAGGGUUGUGGAGCGAAUAUAUUUCACAUGGAUUUUAAUAAUCAAUUGGAAUUUCAAUGCCCUUACAUAAAAUUUCUUGCUUAGGCCAGGCAUGGUGUCUCGUGCCAGUAAUCCCAGCACUUUGGGAGGCUGAUGAGGGUGGAUUACUUGAGAUCAGGAGUUUGGGACCAGCCUAGCCAACAUGGUGAAACCCCAUCUCUACUAAAAAUACAAAAUUAGCCAGGCGUGGUGGCGUACUCCUGUAAUCCCAGCUACUUGGGAGGCUGAGGCAGGACCGUUACUUGGACCUGGGAGGCAAAGGUUGCAGUGAGCCAAGAUUGUGCCAUUUCACUCCAGCCUGGGAAAAAAAAGCAAAGUUCCAUCUCAAAAAACAAAAAACAAAAUUGCUUAAAGCAGUAUUUUGUCUUAAUUUGUACUGACCCACUCAUUUCAAUGCCUGAUCCCUGAAUAUAGUUAACUAGACCACCUCUAAUACAGCCUCUUUAUGUUACAGAAGAGAAAACAGGCUCAAGUGGUGAAGCAGCUUAUCCAUAAUGAAAUGACUAGUUACUGCCUUUUUUGCUGUAAGGGGAAAAAUAUCCAGUAUAUAGAGGCAUUUACUUGUCAAUUAGAGCAAAGAUUAAUUCAGAGAUGUUAUGUCUGCUUUUUAAAUCACCUUUUUAUUGAAUUCCUUACUUAACACUCAUAAAAUGGCUCAUUGUUUGUGGUCAUUUAGGCCCCAGUAGGGUGUGUUCUCUUUCAGGAUCGUAAAUUACUCUUACAGUGUUUGAGAUGUACUGAAGGUUCUAAGGCCUCUGUUAAACUUGGUGGAGGGAAUAGCAAAUGAAUCAUUUGUCAUUUAUUCUUGUAGCAAUUCAUUUGUAGUGGGAACCCAACUCGAAGUCAAAAUACUUUAUUUAUUGGCUUUUCAUGGUUGUUUCUUGAAAAGCAGUAGUAAUUGCAUUUGAUGUAAGUAUGAGAUAUGAAAUAACAUGAAGGAGUAAUAUUAUAUUUCUGGGAAUAACACAAUCUUGGGAGAAGGCCAGGAAAUUUUUGUUGCCUAGUCAAACAAAUGUUAGAUUACAUCGUGGUAUAAUUUAUCUUUUUAAACAAAACUCCCAUUGCCAAAUUUUCUUUUAAUUAAUUAAAAAAUGUAGAAACAACAUUCCUCAAAUGAUAUCCUCUGCCACUGGAUUCAGUAAUAUACACUUUUUGAUGAUUUUAUUUUUUAGUUCUGAGAUAAUUUACAUAUAAGUUAUAUAACCACAUGGCUCACCAUUAUAUUAGCACUAAUUUUUAUAUUAAUCUCAUGGACUGAGGUGAUAAAUAUUUUUCAUGUUCAGUAGACCUUAGACACUGUAAAGAAAAUUUAUACAAUAAAGUGCUGCCCAUAUAAUUUCAACUAUUUCUUUGUGUAUAGAAUGUAUUAAGUGUUCUGCAUUUAUGGAAAAACAUGGGGAAGAUAGGAAGUUUCAAAUGAAUAAUCAGGACAAAUCCUGAAUUGUUCUUGCAGUUGACUUUAAUCAUUUUUGCUGAAAGUGAAGAACAAUUAAUUGACAGUUUCCUCAGUUGUAUUAAUUUUAUUCUGAGAAUGAGUCAAGUUUUUAAUAAAUUGUUGGAAAAAUCCUGAAGGAUAACUAUAGUACCAUAAAUAGAAAGUCUUAUUAAUAAACUAAAAUACUUUUGUUUAUCAAAAAUCACCUUAUAAUUGUGAAUGUAUAUGCUGACCUUACAUUACUGUAAUUAUAAUACAUCCCUACAUAAUCAGAGAACUUCUCGAUUCAAUAAAAAUAAAUACCACAUAGUAAAGAUUUGUCCUGCACCAAGACUUGAGUUAUAUGACAUGGGGACAUCUCAAAUAUCAGGAUAGCUUCUAAGAAGAAUCUUUUGGCCUGUUAAUAAACAAUUUAUAUAUGACAACCAAACCAAAUCCUGUAUUAAACCCUAUAGGAAAAUGCUUUAUUGAGGCUGCCUUGUAUAUUGACGUUCUCAUUAAAAAUUAUUCACAAAUGUCAAAUGUUUCAUUAUAUGAAAGCCCCCUUUAACAUUAAGUAGGAUAUAUUUAACUACAAAAUACUUGUCUGUCCUUUUAUGGCAUUAGUCAUAUACUAUUAGUAAGUGAAAAGAGUUUUAAUAAUGUAUUACGUACCCUAAAAUAAUAGAUAUUUUCAUGUACAUCUAUAAACACAUGUGACAGCUGGGUGCUCCAGGGUCCAAAUCCUCAGAUACACUUAGGGUACAAAAGGUUGUUGGGAGGUAACAAUUACGAGUGAUAAAAGAGGAAAGAAUCCAGAUAUAAAGGGGUGACAGGCCUCAAGCCACAGUACAGAUCUGAUAGGCUCUCAGCCACCUCUCUGGAAAGCUCUGUAGUGAAGACUGCCCAUCAGAGGAGUUCUUGUUUGGGUGAAAAUGGCCAGGUCCCAAUCUUCCUGCCCUCCCUUGACCAUGCCAUGCUUAGUCAUUGGCUAGGGGCAAACCCAGAGAGCAUGGCCUCAGCAGAUCCUGAAAGUAUUAUUUGUUGGGAGUUGUCAACUAACUGCACUCCUUAAAGAUGAAUAGUAAGUUGUUGAAAUAAACAUUGAGUGACAUAUGGCAACUGGCACAUGUUAAUGGCUGCUCUAAUAUAUAAUAGGUGUUUACAUGCGUAUGUUAUGAAUAAAUAUAUGUAUGUACAAAAUAUGCCAUGUAUGUUUAAAGUAAAGAAUGUUUAUAUGAUUGGCCAAGGUAUCUCAGACUCAAUAGAACUUUAAAUGUUUGCAGGUUUUUAUCAAUGGUUUUAGAAUUCCACGUCAAGGUAGUUCCAAAGGAUUGGACAAUUGCAACUGUUAAGCUAGAGCUGUAUGUAAAUUUCAGACUAUUUGGUGGCUCUUUCUUUAACUCUGAGUAUUAUUGCUUCUGUAAGAUGACCAAUUACAUACUACACCAGUGUAUAUUAUUUUUUGAAUGGAAAAACAUAUUAUACUUGGAGGGCUUAGUGAAUUGUGCUACAUAAUAUAAAGAACCUAAUAAUAACCCAGCCUUAGGGGAUCUUGAUCUCUCAAUUCCCAAUAGCUGAAUAAUAACAGUUUGAUAAAAGAAGCAUCACAACUUACAUCUACAAUUAUUCUCAGUAUUCUAUUUCCAUUCUCAAAACUUCAUUUAAUGAAGCAGACUUAAUAAAUGCCAUGUUCUCUGUCAGGACAUUUUCACCUGUUGUUUUUUCCUGCAUAUUCUUCCUUCAGAUAUUGGCAAUACAAGUUUCCCUGCUUUAUUUUAAUCCCUGUUUAAAUGUCACCUUCUCAAAGAAGUCUGUCUCCAUCUGAUCUGAAAUGAAGGCUUCAGAACUAUCCUCUUCCCUUUCUUUCCCUAAAAUAAUAGCUGUUCAUAUGUGGCAAUAUAUUAUACAGCUAUAUGUUUGUGUAUCCUGAUAAUAUUAGAUACCUUAAGUACAGGGAUUUUUGUCUCUUCUCUAUGUGGCUGAAUCCCCAGAACCUACAGCAGUGCGUGGCAUAUGUAGUAGGCACUCAGAAAAUAUCAACUCAGUGAAUUAAUGAAUGGAUGGGUGAUGAAUGAAGAAAUAAAUGAAUAUGUUGAGAAGUCUUUGCCUGCUACUCAUGCUUCAAAAAUAUAAUUGUGUCUGUGUAAAAACAAGAGUUUACCCCGAUCCAGGCUUAUGGUACAUUCCCAUUCCAAGAGAAGCUGUAUCAUCAUCUGAGGAAAAGUAAGUUUUUUCCGGUAAUAUACUUUGUAUAUCAAGAUAUGUUAACAAGAAAGGAUCUUUCUCUAGCCUUGGCAUGUGAUUUUAUUAAGGCAGUAAUCUGUUUUAAUCAGUCAUUUCUUCAAGUAAUGAUUAAUUUUUAUAGAAGUCUACCUCUUGAGCAAUUGAGAAUCUUUCAAACAGUGUAAUCCUCAGCAAGGUCAAUGAGACUUUCACAUGGUCUUAUAUCAGAUUUUAUAAUAAAAUACUUGUGUAUAUUUAAGUAUAAACAGAACAAUACCGUUUAUGUCUACCAUAAAGUGAAAAAGGAAAGGUUAGGGCCUUUGCAGCUGACCUGGAGACCUGCGCUUUAUGGUCAGUCUGGUAAUUAUGAAGUAUUCCUUCAGUAAGUCUAAAAUGAGUAUUGAUUUCAACUUGCCACUUUUCUAUUUCUUCUGCAUCUGCAGCAGCAAUUUUGGAGAUAUUCUUUUCUCCAUGUCAUCAUAUCAUGGUUCACUUGGCCUACUUCUUCAUUUGCUAUUGAAAGACAGAAGUAUAGAUCUUUCAACAAAUCACUAGUAUUUUUUCUAAACGAUCAAUAGUUACUGACAGACUGUUUGCCUGGCUGAAAUUUUGACUUCGAGGAGGCUGUAGAAUAUCCUUUGGCCAGAAGUAAAAAUCUAAGCCCCUAAGGAGUAAAAUAUUGACCAUGUAUAAACAUGUGCUUUGUUUUCACUAAACAGGGAUUAAAAUAUGUUAAGUUUUACAUUAUUUGGUGAAGGCAUUAAAUAUCUACUUAUUUUAUUCUUUACGUUGAAGUAAAAUUUAAGAAGAAUGAUAUUACUGAAAAUAAACUUAAUCAUUAGAAGUUUGUGUUUUGUGCAUAAUACAAUAAAACAAAUAUCGUUUUACUAAAGUAGUUAUCUCAGUUCAGAAUGAAGUAAUUAUGAGCUGGUAAGAUGAUAAUUAAAUGAAUUUUUCAGUGUAGGAUUCUGUUCGUGUUUUUUGUUGUAAUUGUUCAAUAUAAAUGGAAAUAAAAUUUUCCCUGAAGAUACUAUUUUAAGAAGAAUAUAAAGUUCUCCUGCAAUAAUCACAUUCAUACUUAUGUAGACUGACAAAUAUCAGAUAUAUUUGAUCUGAACUUUGAAAUAUGGGUGAGUGUUAAAUACCAUUAAAGAGUAGCUAAGGACAAUUAUGGUCUGACAAAACUAAUGAUUCACAUUAAAAAAAAAUCUAAGUAAAACUUUGAAAUAAAUUUUCACUCUUUAAAUGUCCUCCAUUAAAUAAAAUAAGUCAGUUUCAAUCUUUUAAUUACAUUUUACUCUUUUAUUAUGUGAUAUAGAUAACAUGUAUAUGGUACAUUUAUUGAGUGGUUGAUUUUUAAAGGGCAAUGUUAAUGUCUUCUCUAAGUUUUGUGAAGCAGAGUGAUCCAAAAUAUAUUUUAAGGUUAGAGUUUCACUCACUUCACCAUCUUUUACAAUGAAUUCUAAUUAAUGACACUGCUGGAUGACACAUCUGUUUUGCUAAACAUAACAGAUAGCAAAAGGAAUUUUGGAAGUAGGUGAUGCAUGAUAUUAAAUAUAAAGAAGCAUUAUACAAGUUGAGAACUCUGCCCAGUGCACAUUUGUGUGUUUGAGUUAAAACUAAGCCUCUAUAUUAAAGGAAAACCUGAAGCUCAUGUUACAGAAUGAGCACAUAGAAAGUAGGAAGUUAUUAACAUGCAGCAUUAUUAAAAAUAUUUUAAAUACUUAUAAAUUAGAUUUAUUUUAAAGGUAUGUUUAGGAAAAAUAGGCAUUUUUAUUAGUUACUGAAAAGCAACUGAAAGGAAAUACUUAAAUGUUUAAGAAGGAAUAACCUGGUAUGAUAGUCUAAAUGCUAUAUUUUAAUAAAAGUAGUUUUAUAUUGUAUGAAGUUAUGUUUGUGAAUGCUUUAUAAAAUUUGUUUUAUAACAUGUUAUUAGUAUUUACAUUUUCUGAAGUUUACUUAAAAGUAUGAUAUUCCAACACAAAUUAAUCAUGUAACCAAAGUCUUAUUCUAUAUUUAAAUGAAAAGCUAUUACUAAUAAGGAUUUUAGCUCUACUACAUAAAUAGCCUUGGACUUAAUUACAAGUUAUAUUUGAAUGUAAAAAUGUAUGUUUUUUCUGAAAAUAAUGUAGAAGUUAUACCACAACCUCUUCUUAUUUUGCAUUUGAGGUUAAACAGAUAGAAUCGGAAAGAAAGCUGCCAUCACACAUGUUUUUUCCUUUGUUUGGAUGAGAAACAAAUUACUUUUACUUGCAUGAACUUACAGAGUGUUUAUUGAGCAUUUGCUCUGUGUACAAAUCAUUGACAAGUAGAGUGGGAGACAUCAAAGAAACCAAAACGUGGUUACUAUCUUUAAGCAACUCAACAUAUUAAUAGGCAAGAGUACACAAAUAACUCAGGAGCAAAGUAUUUUGAAGAGCUCAGAGAACAGUUCCAGUCUGAUGGAAAGUCAGAAAGAAAGAGGGCACAUUUGAUAUAAGUCAAUUUCAAGUAUUGGUGGGAUUUUAAAUACAUGAAUUGCAGUUAAGAAGACUCGUAGUUUACGAAGCUAAAAUUCUUUGCCAAUCUCCAUGUUUCAAGACCGAACCUUUUUUGCUGAAAGACUGAGAAAUUAUCAAGUUGUGAUUAAACAUGAUGAAAAUAUGCUGUCUGUGUUAAGGUUAGAUUUUACUUUUUAGGCUAUGAUAGUUUGAUCUGUAAAGUAGAAUACCAAUUAAACAUAUUAUAAUCUGAUAUUUCCAAACAACAAGGAUAUUUUUCAUGCUGUGACAAUCAUAAGAAAAUAAUAAAACAGGAAAGCAAAAUCUUUCAGCAGGUAGUUAUCAAAUCCAUCAGGUUAAAAGAAGCCAUUUCUUAAUCAGAGAUAGAAUGUAGGUAAUGGUUUGUGCUAAUUAUCAUAUGAAAAUCAAACAAGAGUUAAGCCACAGAAUUCAAAUUGAGUACCUGCAUUAUUGUUCUGAUUUUGUAUGAUUAUUGAGAGUACAUUGUCAGGGCAAUUAGAAAUUAUCAUUGUCACAACAUAUUUUGGCAUAAAAUGCAAGCAACAUUAUACUUUUUUCUGAAGCUAAUGGUUGCUUACAAUUAUUGCACUUCAUGAUUUUCUGCAGAGAGGAAUGAAGAGAGUAAGGCAGAGAGUGAGAGAGAGAGGGAGGAAAAGAUAACAGAGGAAGCAAGAAAGGAAAGAAGGAAGAAAAAAUAUCUAGACUGUUUUAACUCUCCAGGUUACUUGGCUAAUUUUAUGGUCCUCCCGCCUACUUUCACUUCUGUCAGUUCCACCUUAGCCCUGAGCUGUUCUUUCUCUUUAGUACUGGCAGUGGCAUAAGACCCUUGCAAACAUGGAAUCAAUUGGAAGAAAUUCUGAAUUUCAGCUGCCUCCAAUUAAAUCUCAUGGACUUUCUUUCCCUCCAAUCUGUAUAAUUGUUUGAUCUUGACCAAUCCCUUCUUUUAUAAUUUCCAAAGGUUUUUGUGUUGUGUUUUUGGUUUGUUUGUUGUUUUAAUGUUUGGGGUUAGUAUUGAUAUCAUUUUUCUUGAAGCUCUGUACUUCAUUCUCCCAGUUUUUAAGAAUUUUCUGUCAUUUCUUCUGGUCACCUGUGACACUGUACUUAUCUUGAAAGAUUAAGAAGACAGAUAUCAUUGUUUCUCAGUGUAGAAAUGGUGACCAAAGAAAACAGACUGUAUAAAUAGAAAUACCACUGAUUAUACAUUAUCCAGCCUUUUCUACUUUUUUUUUUUAACUUAAAAGGUACCUUAUUGUUUUAUUUUUCAGAAAGGAAAGAUAAAAAAAUAACUAUUUUACAAUUUGAUAUGAGUCAUGGUGCCAACAACUUUGCAAUUCAGUAAAACAAUUUGAGGUUAAAGUAAAAAGCAUGAUUACUAAAGAGCACCUUGAAUCUGUUGCUGAACACCCUCAUAUUGGUGACUAAGUUUCAUCUUUUCCCCGACCAUAAACAUGAAUUUAAUGAAUGAAACACAAUAGAAAAAUUAAAUAAAUUAUAGUUAUUAGCUAUUAUGAAAAAUGUAUUCCAAAUUGCAAGCUCAAAGCUGUGAUAUCACUUAACUCAAUUCAGCCUCAUCAUUUUAGCUCAUAGACAUUAAAAGAGUAAACAAAAGACUAGAUAAGCUCAUAGAUAUUGAAGACUAAAGACUUUAAUGAGCCAUUAAAAUGGUUGGAGCCAUUUUCUCAAAGCUUCUUGCCUUUCCAACUUCUUUCCCACUCUGAGAUAUGUACCAGAAGUUUUUCAUCUUUUUAGAGCAGGAAAAUAUUUCUGAAGAUCUUUGCUAUCCUAAGUAUUUACAAAUAUGGCCAGCGUUCUCAAUAAAACAGUAUUAAAUAGCCUAGUAUGUAUCUGAAAAUGAUAUUCCUUUUGCAAAUAUUUAACUGCUUAGUUUUUAUGUAGAGUUUGGCAAUCCAAGAAAGAAAAGUAGACCGAACUCCUCUAAUGGAUCAAGUAGAAGAGAGAUGCAAAAUUUUCUUUUCUAACAUCAGAACUUUAUUUAGAAAUGGAGAACAGUCUAACGUAAUUGUAGUUGGUCAAAUCCAUUUUGGAUACUGAAAACAUAAAGUGAAUAAAAUAAAGCUAUUAACAUUCAUUAUUAGAUAAUUUUAUUGCUUUUUCAAGAAAAAUAUAUUCUUAAAAGUGAUGAAUAACACUAACAACUAUACAUUAAAUACCCCUAUUUUCUAUUGUAGUUCUCAUCCAAAUUUAAUAUAUUCUAAAAAUUUUUUGAAAUUUAACUGCCUAGUUCUUUUUCUUAAAGAACAAUAAGGCCAGUGAUGUGCUUAUAAGAGAAACACGUUUAUGAAUUAAUGAUUGAGAUAAUAACCCUAAUUUAUUUCUUUGAAUAUUCUAGACUUAAGGCUCUCCAAAGUAUAAUAUAGCUAUUAUUAGACACAAAAAGAACAAAAUUAAAAACUGUAUCCUUAAAGGACAGUUAAAAUUUGCCAGGCAGUAUAUGAGCAAAUUAUCUUAUGACUGUUCAGUCAGCUUACUGUUUCUCAGAUGGACAUAUUGUCUGUUUCAUACAAGCACUCCCACCCAGCCACACAAAUGACUAUUGAUAGAAUACAGACUUUAAUAAUAGUAUUUGUUUCUAAGCAGCAAAUAACUUCCCUUUGGCCUUCAAAGUCAUUCUUACAAUUAUUUUUUGCUUGUAAUCUUCUACAUCUCAAAUCUUAUGAGAUUGUCUAAUUUAUUCCUUGCAUAGUAAUUUUGUGUGUCCUAAUGCAAAUUUCCUUUUUUAACAUUGGAAAUAUUUAUUUGAAUAGAAACUACAGUAUUAUAUAAAACAAACAAACAAGCCAAAAUUGGGAUCACGUAUUUUUCCACUGCUUUGUUCAAACCAUCAUUUUAUUGCAUUCCAGAAAGAACAAUCUAGAUACAAAUUUGACAAUAUAUGUUGAAAAAUAUUAAGUAAAUUUCUAUCUUUAUUUUUCUACCAUCUCUUUUCCUUUCAUUCUCCUCAUUUCUAUGGGCCUUCAUUGUUAUUUGUAGUACAUGUUAUCUAGCCGGUUGUAAAAGUGUUUGGGUAAACACCUUUGUGUUUGGUUUCACAUUAAUUAAGUCAGCAGUGUACAUUUGUUGUACUCCCCAGUAGACUACUUAAAAAGAAGCACAAAAAUGGAUUCACUAGUCUAUACAAUGAUCAGAUAAAAAUCUCUGUAUUAGUCAAGCCAAAAAACCAAAAGCUCAUUCAAACCAAAUUACAGAGUUCUUUAUACUUAGUCUGUGGGGUGAAUUCCCUUAGAUAUUUUAUUUUGUGUUUCAUUCUCCCCCACAGAGAGUUAUUUGAGGAGAGACAAUUACCUAAAAUGUACUUCUAACUCAAAUCUCUUUGGACUAAACUAAAUGGUAUAGAUGUGUGUGUGUACGUGUGUGUGUGUUUAUAGAAAUAUUUACAAUUUAGACAUUCUGAGCAAAAAGACACCUAUCAACUUAUCCAAGAGUUCUUAAUGUAGAUUAUUUUCUAAUAUCAUCAUCAGGCAUAUUUAAAUGGAAUAAAUUAUCUUUCACAUUGUGUCUACCGUGGGAAUUUUUAAUGAUGCUCUCUGCUGGCUUCGGUAGAUGUAUGACUUCAUAUCUCCUGGGGCAACUUCAUUUUUACAUUUUCAUUCAGUUGUAUCAGAGUUUUGUGUGCUGUGAGACCAAGAAAAUUUCAUUUUGGAAGUUGUCAUUAUGGGGAUAUCACAGCACUUUGAUGAGAUUUUCUUAUUCAGGUAUAAAAUAGUUGCAAAUAAACAUACAAAUAAGUAUGAUAUUUUUAUUUAUGUUUAAAACAGCAACAUUGGUAUCACUUGUGGGUUUUUUUCUGGUAGUUUAUGGUUAGCAAGUUUAACUGUUUAAACGUGUUUUAUUUUAAAUUUAAACGUAUUUCAUUUUAAUUUUAAACAUGUUUCUAAGAUACAACUUUCUCGACUAAUAAUGAACCAUUGGAUAUAGUUCAUAAUAUCUAUGUAUUAGGAUGUCACAGCAGAUCAGAUAAGAUAGUACAUACUGUCACAUUCAGCAUCAUAGAUAUUCUAAAACCGUUGCAUAAAGAUGAGCCCUUUUGUGUUACCUUGCAAGGUUGCUAUAGUUACAGAAUGUGGCUUUAUGGGAAUUUCACUUUUCUUAGUAAUAUUAGAUACUGAACCAAAAGUCUCAUUUUAUAUGAUUCUUAAGUCUCUUCUUUGAAAAUAACUUCAUUUGUAAGAUAUUCUGUAUUUUCACAAUCUUUCUUUUUAUUCCACAAAUAAGUUAUUUGCAAAGAACAAAAAUUUGAGCAUAUGUUUUGCUUCCAGACACUGAACAUAGGACAGAAUUUUCACUCCCUCCUUCGAUUGCUAUUUUUGCGUUUACAGAAAAAGAAGUUUGUAUUAUAUAUAUUUUUUAAAAAGCAGUAUGUUGUCAGCUGGUAAACUCCAUUAAACAAUAUUAUUAAAACCCAUGUGUUUCUAUGUUACUGCACCUUAGUUUAAAGCAGAGUUGUAUGUACCUGUGAGCAGUGAGUUUCAAACUAUCAUAGAGUUUCAAGUUUUCCAUAGAGUUUCAAGUGUAGAUAUUACUACACUUUAAUGGAAAGAUAAUGUGCUCUCGGAAAACAUGGUUCAUAUUUACCUCCUACAAAGCUACAGUACUGGAUACUGGGGCCGUAAAACAUGAAUACAUGAUCUCUAGUAAGAUAUUUAGUCUAAUUUCCACUCUUUUUUUUUUUUUUUUUUUGAGACGGAGUCUCGCUCUGUCGCCCAGGCUAGAGUGCAGUGGCGCAAUCUCGGCUCACUGCAAGCUCCGCCUCCCGGGUUCACGCCAUUCUCCUGCCUCAGCCUCUCCGAGUAGCUGGGACUACAGGCGCCCGCCACCGCGCCCGGCUAAUUUUUUGU